GAUGAACGCUGGCGGCGUGCUUAACACAUGCAAGUCGAACGGGAUCCCAGGAGCUUGCUCCUGGGUGAGAGUGGCGAACGGGUGAGUAAUGCGUGACCGACCUGCCCCAUACACCGGAAUAGCUCCUGGAAACGGGUGGUAAUGCCGGAUGCUCCAGUUGGAUGCAUGUCCUUCUGGGAAAGAUUCAUCGGUAUGGGAUGGGGUCGCGUCCUAUCAGCUUGAUGGCGGGGUAACGGCCCACCAUGGCUUCGACGGGUAGCCGGCCUGAGAGGGCGACCGGCCACAUUGGGACUGAGAUACGGCCCAGACUCCUACGGGAGGCAGCAGUGGGGAAUAUUGCACAAUGGGCGCAAGCCUGAUGCAGCGACGCCGCGUGCGGGAUGACGGCCUUCGGGUUGUAAACCGCUUUUGACUGGGAGCAAGCCCUUCGGGGUGAG
rnacentral:rRNA from 1 species